UACAGGGGGUGCAAGCGUUGUUCGGAAUUAUUGGGCGUAAAGGGCGCGUAGGCGGCCUGUUAAGUCGAACGUGAAAUCCCCGGGCUCAACCCGGGAACUGCGUCCGGUACUGGCAGGCUUGAAUCCGGGAGAGGGAUGCGGAAUUCCAGGUGUAGCGGUGAAAUGCGUAGAUAUCUGGAGGAACACCGGUGGCGAAGGCGGCAUCCUGGACCGGCAUUGACGCUGAGGCGCGAAAGCCAGGGGAGCAAACGGG
rnacentral:rRNA from 1 species